CCAUCCUAUNACAACCCUAGAGAUAGGGCUUUCCCUUCGGGGACAGAGUGACAGGUGGUGCAUGGUUGUCGUCAGCUCGUGUNGNGAGAUGUUGGGUUAAGUCCCGCAACGAGNGCAACCCUUGAUCUUAGUUGCCAGCAUUCAGUUGGGCACUCUAAGGUGACNGCCGGUGACAAACCGGAGGAAGGUGGGGAUGACGUCAAAUCAUCAUGCCCCUUAUGACCUGGGCUACACACGUGCUACAAUGGACAGAACAAAGGGCUGCAAGACCGCAAGGUUUAGCCAAUCCCAUAAAUCUGUUCUCAGUUCGGAUCGCAGUCUGCAACUCGACUGCGUGAAGCUGGAAUCGCUAGUAAUCGCGGAUCAGCAUGCCGCGGUGAAUACGUUCCCGGGCCUUGUACACACCGCCCGUCACACCACGAGAGUUUGCAACACCCGAAGUCGGUGAGGUAACCUUUAUGGAGCCAGCCGCCGAAGGUGGGGCAGAUGAUUGGGGNNAAGU
rnacentral:rRNA from 1 species